ACCCGCUGAACUUAAGCAUAUCAAUAAGCGGAGGAAAAGAAACCAACAGGGAUUGCCCUAGUAACGGCGAGUGAAGCGGCAACAGCUCAAAUUUGAAAUCUGGCUCCUUGCGGGGCCCGAGUUGUAAUUUGUAGAGGGCGGUUCGGCCUUGGUCUGCGCCUAAGUUCCUUGGAACAGGACGUCACAGAGGGUGAGAACCCCGUAUGUGGCGCGGGUGCCUUGGCCGUGUGAACCCCCUUCGACGAGUCGAGUUGUUUGGGAAUGCAGCUCUAAAUGGGAGGUAUAUUUCUUCUAAAGCUAAAUACUGGCCAGAGACCGAUAGCGCACAAGUAGAGUGAUCGAAAGAUGAAAAGCACUUUGGAAAGAGAGUCAAACAGCACGUGAAAUUGUUGAAAGGGAAGCGCUUGCAACCAGACUUGCUCGCCGCCGCUCAUCCGGGCCCGAGGGCCCGGUGCACUCGGCGGUGGACAGGCCAGCAUCGGUUUCGGCGGCCGGACAAAGGCCCUGGGAACGUGGCUCCCUCCGGGGAGUGUUAUAGCCCAGGGCGCAAUGCGGCCAGCCGGGACCGAGGUCCGCGCUUCGGCUAGGAUGCUGGCGUAAUGGUCGC
rnacentral:rRNA from 1 species